CACAGGUGCACAUGCAUGUCUGUAUGUGUGUGUGUGCAGUGCGCGCACAGGUGCACAUGCAUGUCUGUGUGUGCAAUGCGUGCACAGGUGCACAUGCAUGUCUGUGUGUCUGUCACUGUGUCUCCAACUUGAAAGUGACCACAGCUCAGUAGAUGACAGGUUUUUGUUUUGUUUUAAUAAACAUUGAAGUCAGAUCAAGGGGUUACAGGUCUCAUGGAGGACCAAGACAGUUUGAAGCUCAUAGUGUAGCUUCAUGUGGUUAUCCAGUUAGAUCCAGUGCUGCUGAGUAGGUGAUCAGUUUCAGGAGUGGAGAACAUGCAGGUUUCCGUCAUCUUGAGCAAAGUGUUAGGAAAGCAUUUUCAGUGGUGCAGUACUUCUGCUGCAUGAAUAUGACCUACGUUUAUACCAGCUGGAUGUCUGGUCAUUUCCAUUCAGAAAAUGAAAAAAAAAAUGAAGUUAAGUGAUUUUUUUCUAAGGUUUUUCCCUACAUUAUAAUACAACAUUGUUCCAUUUAUUUCAAGUUCUGCAGAGUUUGGAGGCAAUAUAGAAGUGUCAUAUUCAAUAAACCAUAUCAUGCAUGAUUUUUCUGAAUGGACAAUACGGUCCAGGCUGACUGCUGCUGUCUUGAAAUGAACACAGGUACACUUGCCUUUUAUUUUUAAAGGUUUUUCCCCAUUCAGGAAAACUUGAUUGUGAUCUGUACUACAGAAACUAAAUGUCAUACAUCAUACAUUUGUGUAUAAAGUACAUAAAAUGGAUCUCAGUACACGUAAUAGGGAGCGUUGUUUGUGAAACAAUGUAAGAAGCUUUCCUCUUUUAAAAACUACAUUACAUUCAUUUAACACUAGAUACCAGGUCAGACAUUUUCAAGGUUGCGGUAGUACUCUAAAAUGAAAAGUUUCAACAAUUCUUGGAGAUGCUAGCUAGUAUUAAAGCUAUUUUUAUUUUAUGCUGAAUUUUGAUUCUUUUGAUGCCAAAUUAUUUUUUAGUCCUAAUCAGUGAUAAUCACUUGAAGAUAAUUAUGCAGUGGCAUUUGAACUCAUUGUUAUGAUGGGUAAAGAAUUUGUGGGUUCACAGAGAAUGUUGGUGUUGAUUAUUAACAGUUACUGAAUCAAAUAUUUAUUUGUUGCAAUGUUUCCUUUGUGCUUUAAGUUUUCCUUUACACUCGUUUCAUAUUGCUUUCUACAUGCGUGUUUUUUUAAGACUAUGGAAAUAAUUUAAAGAGUUGAGCUCUGGUGGAUGAUUAUCUGCUAAGUUUGAAAAUGUAAUAUUUUGAUAAUACUGUACUGUUCCUGUCACAAAUGCUUUUGUAAUGUUUUAACCCUGAGUAUUGCAGUUGCUGCUUUGUACAGAAGUUACUGCAAUAAAGGAAGUGGACUCAUUAAAACUUCAA